rnacentral:rRNA from 1 species
UUCCGUUGAUCCUGCGGAAGGUUGCCGCUAUGAGAAUCCGACUAAGACAUGCAAGUCUGGGGACUUCGGUCACCGGCAAAAUGCUCAGUAACGCGUCGAUAAUCUGCCUUUCAGCUUGGAAUAACCUUGGUAACCUGAGGCUAAUGCCAAAUAGGGGAUUGCCACUGUGAUGUGCUUUCCUUCAAAGCUUCGGCACUGAAAGAUGAGUCGGCGACGGAUUAGGUUGUUGGUGAGGUAAUGGCUCACCAAGCCGAAGAUCCGUACGGGCCUUGAGAGAGGUAGCCCGGAGAAGGACACUGAGAUACUGGUCCUAGCCCUACGGGGUGCAGCAGUCGCGAAACCUUUACAAUGCACGCAAGUGUGAUAAGGGGAUUCUCAGUGCUCAAGAAUUUCUUGGGCUUUUGCCAAGAGUAAACAUCUUGGCGAAUAAGGGGUGGGAAAGACUGGUGCCAGCAGCCGCGGUAACACCAGCGCCUCAAGUGGGAACCGACUUUAUUUGGCCUAAAGCGUCCGUAGCCGGUUUGUUAAAUUUUCUGUGAAAUUGAUGAGCUCAACUCAUCAGCGUGCAGGAAACACUGGCAGACUAGGAACUGGGAGAAGUCAAAGGUAUUUCUGGGGAAGCGGUAAAAUGCUAUAAUCCUAGGAGGACCACCAAUGGCGAAGGCAUUUGACUAGAACAGAUUCGACGGUGAGGGGCGAAAGCCAGGGGAGCGAUCCGGAUUAGAUACCCGAGUAGUCCUGGCCCUAAACGCUGCGAGCUAGGUGUUGCAUAAUCUACAUGAUUGUGCAGUGUCGAAGCGAAGGUGUUAAGCUCGCCGCCUGGGAAGUAUGGCCGCAAGGCUGAAACUUAAAGGAAUUGGCGGGGGAGCACUACAAGGGGUGCGGCGUGCGGUUUAAUCUAACUCAACACAGAAAAUCUCACCAGCAGCGACGGCAGAAUGAAGGUCAAGUUGAUGUCUUUACCUGACGAGCCGAGAGGUGGUGCAUGGCCGUCGUCAGCUCGUGCUGUAAGGUGUCCUGUUAAGUCAGGCAACGAGCGAGACCUACGUCUAUAAUUGCUAGCAGCAGAAUUUCUGGACUGAGCACAUUAUGGAAACUGCCUUGGAAACGAGGAGGAAGGUGUAGGCUACGAUAGGUCUGUAUGCCCCGAAUCUGCUGGGCUACACGCGCGCAACAAUGGUAGAGACAAUGGGAUGCAACUCCGAAAGGAGAAGCUAAACCUCGAAACUCUAUCUUAGUCUAGAUCGAGGGUUGUAACUCACCCUCGUGACAACGGAAUCCCUAGUAAUCAGAGUUCACUAUACUCUGGUGAAUAUGUCCCUGCUCCUUGCACACACCGCCCGUCAAACCAACCGAGCAGGGUUUAGGUAAGGCAUGAUUUUUUGAUCAUUUCGAAUCUAAGUUCAGUGAGGUGGGUUAAGUCGUCACAAGGUA